GAUUUGGUCAUGUCAACUUGGUCAGGAACAUUACUCAGGACAUCUCAUCUUCUUACUGCACCUGACGCCCUCCUUGCUUACAGUUUGCUGCCAGAGAGGUGUGAAUCAACAUAUAUUUAACAGAAACCAAAAAAUGAGUUGUGAAGGAUAUUACUAACUCUCCAGAAUGUAUCUGGAAGUGGA